rnacentral:rRNA from 1 species
GACGAACGCUGGCGGCGUGCCUAAUACAUGCAAGUCGAACGAGAGCGACCGGUGCUUGCACUGGUCAAUCUAGUGGCGAACGGGUGAGUAACACGUGGGUAACCUGCCCAUCAGAGGGGGAUAACAUUCGGAAACGGAUGCUAAAACCGCAUAGGUCUUCGAAUCGCAUGGUUUGAAGAGGAAAAGAGGCGCAAGCUUCUGCUGAUGGAUGGACCCGCGGUGCAUUAGCUAGUUGGUGAGGUAACGGCUCACCAAGGCCGUGAUGCAUAGCCGACCUGAGAGGGUGAUCGGCCACAUUGGGACUGAGACACGGCCCAAACUCCUACGGGAGGCAGCAGUAGGGAAUCUUCCGCAAUGGACGCAAGUCUGACGGAGCAACGCCGCGUGAGUGAAGAAGGUUUUCGGAUCGUAAAACUCUGUUGUUAGAGAAGAACAAGUGCUAGAGUAACUGUUAGCGCCUUGACGGUAUCUAACCAGAAAGCC